UAAUUUCAUAAAAAUAUUUUCUAUCAUAUACCAUUUUUACAUAAUUUUGAAAAUCAUUUUUUCAUUUAAUUAAUAUUUUCUCUUAUUUUUCAUUUCAUUUUAUUUCCACAUUUUUAUUUUAUUAAUUUUAAAACAUUUUUCACCCCAAAUUUUGAGGUCAAGUCACCCUAAAUUUUAUUGAACUUCUCUAUUUUUUUUGAAUUUUAU
rnacentral:lncRNA from 1 species